rnacentral:rRNA from 1 species
UAGGGAAUCUUCGGCAAUGGACGGAAGUCUGACCGAGCAACGCCGCGUGAGUGAAGAAGGUUUUCGGAUCGUAAAGCUCUGUUGUAAGAGAAGAACGAGUGUGAGAGUGGAAAGUUCACACUGUGACGGUAUCUUACCAGAAAGGGACGGCUAACUACGUGCCAGCAGCCGCGGUAAUACGUAGGUCCCGAGCGUUGUCCGGAUUUAUUGGGCGUAAAGCGAGCGCAGGCGGUUAGAUAAGUCUGAAGUUAAAGGCUGUGGCUUAACCAUAGUACGCUUUGGAAACUGUUUAACUUGAGUGCAAGAGGGGAGAGUGGAAUUCCAUGUGUAGCGGUGAAAUGCGUAGAUAUAUGGAGGAACACCGGUGGCGAAAGCGGCUCUCUGGCUUGUAACUGACGCUGAGGCUCGAAAGCGUGGGGAGCAAACAGGAUUAGAUACCCUGGUAGUCCACGCCGUAAACGAUGAGUGCUAGGUGUUAGACCCUUUCCGGGGUUUAGUGCCGUAGCUAACGCAUUAAGCACUCCGCCUGGGGAGUACGGCCGCAAGGCUA